GGUGAAUGCGUUCCCGGGUCUUGUACACACCGCCCGUCACACCACGGGAGUUGGAGACGCCCGAAGCCGAUUAUCUAACCUUUUGGAAGAAGUCGUCGAAGGUGGAAUCAAUAACUGGGGUGAAGUCGUAACAAGGUAGCCGUAUCGGAAGGUGCGGCUGGAUCACCUCCUUUCUAA
rnacentral:rRNA from 1 species